rnacentral:rRNA from 1 species
GCGAAUGGUGGAUGCCUUGACUGGUAAAGGCGAUGAAGGACGUACUAGACUGCGAUAAGCUACGGGGAGCUGUCAAGAAGCUUUGAUCCGUAGAUUUCCGAAUGGGGCAACCCAAUGUAUAGAGAUAUACAUUACCUAUAUAGGAGCGAACGAGGGGAAUUGAAACAUCUUAGUACCCUCAGGAAAAGAAAUCAAUAGAGAUUGCGUCAGUAGCGGCGAGCGAAAGCGCAAGAGGGCAAACCCAGUGCUUGCACUGGGGGUUGUAGGACUGCAAUGUGCAAGAGGUAAGUUUAGCAGAACAUUCUGGAAAGUAUAACCAUAGAGGGUGAUAGUCCCGUAUGCGAAAAACAAACCUUAGCUAGCAGUAUCCUGAGUAGGGCGGGACACGAGGAAUCCUGUCUGAAUCCGGGUCGACCACGAUCCAACCCUAAAUACUAAUACCAGAUCGAUAGUGCACAAGUACCGUGAGGGAAAGGUGAAAAGAACUGAGGUGAUCAGAGUGAAAUAGAACCUGAAACCAUUUGCUUACAAUCAUUCAGAGCCCUAUGUAGCAAUACAGGGUGAUGGACUGCCUUUUGCAUAAUGAGCCUGCGAGUUGUGGUGUCUGGCAAGGUUAAGCAAACGCGAAGCCGUAGCGAAAGCGAGUCUGAAUAGGGCGCUUAGUCAGAUGCUGCAGACCCGAAACGAAGUGAUCUAUCCAUGAGCAAGUUGAAGCUAGUGUAAGAACUAGUGGAGGACUGAACCCAUAGGCGUUGAAAAGCCCCGGGAUGACUUGUGGAUAGGGGUGAAAGGCCAAUCAAACUUCGUGAUAGCUGGUUCUCUCCGAAAUAUAUUUAGGUAUAGCGUUGUGUCGUAAUAUAAGGGGGUAGAGCACUGAAUGGGCUAGGGCAUACACCAAUGUACCAAACCCUAUCAAACUCCGA